GACCUGUUGGCGCAGUGGUUAGCGUGCUGACAAUAAUUGAUAUCUUCCAUAGUGUGAUUAUGUGGGAGACCCCAGUUCUACUCUGGGACAGGUCA